rnacentral:snoRNA from 1 species
UUGCCAUUAGAAAACGAUGUUGAUGCUGUAGCUAUUGGUUUCAAACAGGAGCUGGGGUGAGGUCAUUCCUGUGGUCUGCAGCCAUUUAGUAUUCCAGUGGGAAUGCUCAAUUCAGUUGGAAGAGAAAAGA